rnacentral:rRNA from 1 species
ACGGUCCUAAGGUAGCGAAAUUCCUUGUCGGGUAAGUUCCGACCUGCACGAAUGGCGUAACGAUCUCCACACUGUCUCGGCCAGAGACUCGGUGAAAUUGCAGUCGCGGUGAAAAUUCCGUGUACCCGCAGAAAGACGGAAAGACCCUGUGCACCUUUACUAUAGCUUGACAUUGGGAUUUGAACCUGCAUGUGUAGGAUAGGUGGGAGGCUGUGAACUCUGUACGCUAGUAUGGAGGGAGCCAUUGUUGAAAUACCACCCUUGUUUUUUCAGGUCCCUAACCCUCAGCCGUAAGCCGGCGAGGGAACAGUGUCUGGUGGGUAGUUUGACUGGGGCGGUCGCCUCCUAAAAUGUAACGGAGGCAUGCAAAGGUUCCCUCAGGCUGAUUGGAAACCAGCCGUCGAGUGCAAACGCAUAAGGGAGCUUGACUGCGAGAGAGACAUCUCGAGCAGGUACGAAAGUAGGUGUUAGUGAUCCGGUGGUCCCGAAUGGAAGGGCCAUCGCUCAUUGGAUAAAAGGUACGCCGGGGAUAACAGGCUGAUCGCAUCCAAGAGUUCACAUCGACGAUGCGGUUUGGCACCUCGAUGUCGGCUCAUCACAUCCUGGGGCUGAAGCAGGUCCCAAGGGUACGGCUGUUCGCCGUUUAAAGUGGUACGCGAGCUGGGUUUAAAACGUCGUGAGACAGUUUGGUCCCUAUCUUCUGUGGGCGCUGGAGAAUUGAAAGGGCCUGUCCCUAGUACGAGAGGACCGGGAUGGACGCACCCCUGGUGGACCUGUUGUCGUGCCAACGGCAUAGCAGGGUAGCUAUGUGCGGAAGGGAUAACCGCUGAAAGCAUCUAAGCGGGAAGCCUGCCUUAAGAUAAGUUCUCCCUGACGCAAGUCCUGAAGGGCCGAGGUAGACUACCUCGUUGAUAGGCUGGGGGUGGAAGCGCCGCGAGGCGUGGAGCUGACCAGUACUAAUAGCCCGUGAGGCUUGUUCUC